GACGACCGCUGGCGGCGUGCUUAACACAUGCAAGUCGAACGGGGCUCAUCGCUUCGGUGGUGGGUCUAGUGGCGAACGGGUGAGUAACACGUGGGCAACCUGCCCCCGGCUCUGGGAUAACUCCAAGAAAUUGGGGCUAAUACCGGAUGUGUCCGCUGGCCGCCUGGUAUGGUGGUUGACAGGGUUUCCGGCUGGGGAUGGGCCCGCGGCCUAUCAGAUUGUUGGUGGGGUAGUGGCCUACCAAGGCGACGACGGGUAGCCGGCCUGAGAGGGUGACCGGCCACACUGGGACUGAGACACGGCCCAGACUCCUACGGGAGGCAGCAGUGGGGAAUAUUGCGCAAUGGGCGGAAGCCUGACGCAGCGACGCCGCGUGGGGGAUGACGGCCUUCGGGUUGUAAACCUCUUUCAGCAGGGACGAAGCCGCGAGGUGACGGUACCUGCAGAAGAAGCACCGGCCAACUACGUGCCAGCCGCCGCGGUAA
rnacentral:rRNA from 1 species